GAUGAACGCUAGCGGCAGGCUUAACACAUGCAAGUCGAGGGGCAGCACGAUGUAGCAAUACAUGGGUGGCGACCGGCGCACGGGUGCGUAACACGUAUGGAAUCUGCCCUUUACUGGAGGAUAGCCCGGAGAAACUCCGGAUUAAUACUCCAUAACAAGCGAGGUGGCAUCAUCUUGCUUUGAAAGCUCCGGCGGUAAAGGAUGACCAUGCGCACGAUUAGCUAGUUGGUGAGGUAACGGCUCACCAAGGCUACGAUCGUUAGGGGGCCUGAGAGGGUUAUCCCCCACACUGGUAC
rnacentral:rRNA from 1 species